rnacentral:rRNA from 1 species
CCUACGGGGGGCAGCAGUGAGGAAUCUCGCGCAAUGGGGGAAACCCUGACGCAGCGACGCCGCGUGAGUGAAGAAGGCCCUCGGGUCGUAAAGCUCUGUCAAGUGGGAAUAACGUCGCACACUCAAUAGGUGUACGGUCUGAAGGUACCACUAGAGGAAGCGCCGGCUAACUCCGUGCCAGCAGCCGCGGU